rnacentral:sRNA from 1 species
GCCAGCUACUCGCUUCCUGCCGCUCGCCGCUGCCAUGCUGCCCGCCGCGCUGCUCCGCCGCCCGGGACUUGGCCGCCUCGUCCGCCACGCCCGUGCCUAUGCCGAGGCCGCCGCCGCCCCGGCUGCCGCCUCUGGCCCCAACCAGAUGUCCUUCACCUUCGCCUCUCCCACGCAGGUUCGGGCGCUGCGGGUCGGGACCCUCCGUGGCCGCCGCCCCCGGAGUCCAGGGUCCCCACCCCCAGGGCGCGACCCCCGCUUCCGGGCCCCCGGACCCGCGCGCCCCGGAAGCCGAGGCUACUCAGCCCUGGACCCUCGGCCCUGCCUCUGCUGCCCGACCCCUGCGCUGCCCUCGUCCCGGGCACCUCCCCGAGAUAAGCGUCUCCUGGGUGCCCUCCCCGAUCUCCCUGGCCAAAGCCUGGGUGUCGCCGGAUCGUUGCAUUCCCAUUUCGCGGAUCAGUAGAAUGAGGCGCAACUGUUGAGGACCAAAGCUGCAACUUCGGAUCCCUGCGCUGGGUUGUCUCAGUGCCUCACAUCAGCGCCAGGUCCUGCCCUGACCCAUGUCUUAGCAGGACAGGCCGAGUCCCCGGUGGGCGCGGGGCCGGCCUGCCCCGCCAUCAUUCCCCACGCUGUUGUCUGCAGGUGUUCUUCAACGGUGCCAACGUCCGGCAGGUGGACGUGCCCACGCUGACCGGAGCCUUCGGCAUCCUGGCGGCCCACGUGCCCACGCUGCAGGUCCUGCGGCCGGGGCUGGUCGUGGUGCAUGCAGAGGACGGCACCACCUCCAAAUACUUUGUGAGCAGCGGUUCCAUUGCAGUGAACGCCGACUCUUCGGUGCAGUUGUUGGCCGAAGAGGCCGUGACGCUGGACAUGUUGGACCUGGGGGCAGCCAAGGCGAACUUGGAGAAGGCCCAGGCGGAGCUGGUGGGGACAGCGGACGAGGCCACGCGGGCAGAGAUCCAGAUCCGAAUCGAGGCCAACGAGGCCCUGGUGAAGGCCCUGGAGUAGGCGGUGCGUACCCGGUGUCCCGAGGCCCGGCUAGGGGCUGGGCAGGGAUGCCAGGUGGGCCCAGCCAGCUCCUGGGGUCCCGGCCACCUGGGGAAGCCGCGCCUGCCAAGGAGGCCACCAGAGGGCAGUGCAGGCUUCUGCCUGGGCCCCAGGCCCUGCCUGUGUUGAAAGCUCUGGGGACUGGGCCAGGGAAGCUCCUCCUCAGCUUUGAGCUGUGGCUGCCACCCAUGGGGCUCUCCUUCCGCCUCUCAAGAUCCCCCCAGCCUGACGGGCCGCAUACCAUCCCCUCUGCCCUGCAGAGCCAGCCGCCAAGGUUGACCUCAGCUUCGGAGCCACCUCUGGAUGAACUGCCCUCAGCCCCCGCACCAUUAAAGACCCGGAAGCCUGA